rnacentral:rRNA from 1 species
GAUCAUGGCUCAGAAUGAACGCUGGCGGCAUGGAUUAGGCAUGCAAGUCGAACGUGCUCCCUUCGGGGAGAAAGUGGCGAAAGGGUGAGUAACACGUGAGCAACCUGCCUCCGGAUCCGGAAUAAUCCAGGGAAACUUGGUCUAAAACCGGAUGAAGACAUUGGUCCGCAUGGUCUAAUGUUAAAAUAUUUAUAGUCCGGAGAGGGGCUCGCGGCCCAUUAGCUUGUUGGCGGGGUAAUGGCCCACCAAGGCUACGACGGGUAGGUGGUCUGAGAGGAUGGUCACCCACACUGGGACUGAGACACUGCCCAGACUCCUACGGGAGGCUGCAGUCGAGAAUCUUCCGCAAUGGGCGCAAGCCUGACGGAGCGAUGCCGCGUGAGGGAUGAAGGCCUUCGGGUUGUAAACCUCUGUCAUCCGGGACGAAAACAAUGACGGUACCGGAAAAGGAAGCCACGGCUAACCACGUGCCAGCCGCAGC